rnacentral:rRNA from 1 species
UGGGGAAUAUUGCACAAUGGGCGCAAGCCUGAUGCAGCCAUGCCGCGUGUGUGAAGAAGGCCUUCGGUUGUAAAGCACUUUUGUCCGGAAAGAAAUCCUUGGCUCUAAUACAGUCGGGGGAUGACGGUACCGGAAGAAUAAGCACCGGCUAACUACGUGCCAGCAGCCGCGGUAAUACGUAGGGUGCAAGCGUUAAUCGGAAUUACUGGGCGUAAAGCGUGCGCAGGCGGUUUGCUAAGACCGAUGUGAAAUCCCCGGGCUCAACCUGGGAACUGCAUUGGUGACUGGCAGGCUAGAGUAUGGCAGAGGGGGGUAGAAUUCCACGUGUAGCAGGUGAAAUGCGUAGAGAUGUGGAGGAAUACCGAUGGCGAAGGCAGCCCCCUGGGCCAAUACUGACGCUCAUGCACGAAAGCGUGGGGAGCAAACAGGAUUAGAUACCCCUGGUAGUCCACGCCCUAAACGAUGUCAACUAGUUGUUGGGGAUUCAUUUUCCUUAGUAACGUAGCUAACGCGUGAAGUU